rnacentral:rRNA from 1 species
UCCUACGGGAGGCAGCAGUCGAGAAUUUUUCUCAAUGGGGGAAACCCUGAAGGAGCGACGCCGCGUGGAGGAUGAAGGCUUUCGGGUUGUAAACUCCUGUCAUUUGGGAACAAGUUGCACACGUUAACUGCGUGGGCAUUGAUAGUACCAGAAGAGGAAGGGACGGCUAACUCUGUGCCAGCAGCCGCGGUAAUACAGAGGUCCCAAGCGUUGUUCGGAUUCAUUGGGCGUAAAGGGUGCGUAGGUGGCGCUGUAAGUCGGGUGUGAAAUUUCGAGGCUUAACCUCGAAACUGCAUUCGAUACUGCGGUGCUUGAGGACUGGAGAGGAGACUGGAAUUCAUGGUGUAGCAGUGAAAUGCGUAGAGAUCAUGAGGAAGACCAGUGGCGAAGGCGGGUCUCUGGACAGUUCCUGACACUGAGGCACGAAGGCCAGGGGAGCAAACGGGAUUAGAUACCCCGGUAGUCCUGGCAGUAAACGGUGCACGUUUGGUGUGGGAGGAUUCGACCCUUUCCGCGCCGGAGCUAACGCGUUAAACGUGCCGCCUGGGGAGUACGGUCGCAAGAUUAAAACUCAAAGAAAUUGACGGGGGCCCGCACAAGCGGUGGAGUAUGUGGCUUAAUUCGAUGCAACGCGAAGAACCUUACCAGGCCUUGACAUGCAUUUCUAAGCGGGUGAAAGCCCGUGAGUCCCGAAAGGGACAACUUGCACAGGUGCUGCAUGGCUGUCGUCAGCUCGUGUCGUGAGAUGUUGGGUUAAGUCCCGCAACGAGCGCAACCCCUGUGAACUGUUGCCACCGGUCGCAAGACCGAGCACUCUGUUCAGACUGCCCUGUGAAACGGGGAGGAAGGUGGGGACGAC